GACGAACGCUGGCGGCGUGCUUAACACAUGCAAGUCGAACGGAAAGGCCCUGCUUUUGUGGGGUGCUCGAGUGGCGAACGGGUGAGUAACACGUGAGUAACCUGCCCUUGACUUUGGGAUAACUUCAGGAAACUGGGGCUAAUACCGGAUAGGAGCUCCUGCUGCAUGGUGGGGGUUGGAAAGUUUCGGCGGUCGGGGAUGGACUCGCGGCUUAUCAGCUUGUUGGUGGGGUAGUGGCUUACCAAGGCUUUGACGGGUAGCCGGCCUGAGAGGGUGACCGGCCACAUUGGGACUGAGAUACGGCCCAGACUCCUACGGGAGGCAGCAGUGGGGAAUAUUGCACAAUGGGCGGAAGCCCGAUGCAGCAACGCCGCGUGCGGGAUGACGGCCUUCGGGUUGUAAACCGCCUUCGCCUGUGACGAAGCGUGAGUGACGGUAAUGGGUAAAGAAGCACCGGCUAACUACGUG
rnacentral:rRNA from 1 species